UAAAACGCAGGAGGCAAGCGUUAUCCGGAGUUACUGGGCGUAAAGCGCAUGUAGGCGGUUGGGCAAGUGGCGUGUGAAAGCUCCCGGCUAAACUGGGAGACGACAGGUCAGACUGCCGAACUGGAGUCCGAUAGAGGAGCGUAGAAUUCCGGGUGUAGCGGUGAAAUGUGUAGAGAUCCGGAGGAAUACCAGUGGCGCAAGCGGCGCUCUGGGUCGGGACUGACGCUGAGGUGCGAAAGCGUGGGGAGCAAACAG
rnacentral:rRNA from 1 species